rnacentral:rRNA from 1 species
AAAUUGAAGAGUUUGAUCAUGGCUCAGAUUGAACGCUGGCGGCAGGCCUAACACAUGCAAGUCGAACGGUAACAGGAAGCAGCUUGCUGCUUCGCUGACGAGUGGCGGACGGGUGAGUAAUGUCUGGGAAACUGCCUGAUGGAGGGGGAUAACUACUGGAAACGGUGGCUAAUACCGCAUAACGUCGCAAGACCAAAGAGGGGGACCUUCGGGCCUCUUGCCAUCAGAUGUGCCCAGAUGGGAUUAGCUUGUUGGUGAGGUAACGGCUCACCAAGGCGACGAUCCCUAGCUGGUCUGAGAGGAUGACCAGCCACACUGGAACUGAGACACGGUCCAGACUCCUACGGGAGGCAGCAGUGGGGAAUAUUGCACAAUGGGCGCAAGCCUGAUGCAGCCAUGCCGCGUGUAUGAAGAAGGCCUUCGGGUUGUAAAGUACUUUCAGCGGGGAGGAAGGUGUUGUGGUUAAUAACCACAACACCAUGACGUUACCCGCAGAAGAAGCACCGGCUAACUCCGUGCCAGCAGCCGCGGUAAUACGGAGGGUGCAAGCGUUAAUCGGAAUUACUGGGCGUAAAGCGCACGCAGGCGGUCUGUCAAGUCGGAUGUGAAAUCCCCGGGCUCAACCUGGGAACUGCAUUCGAAACUGGCAGGCUUGAGUCUUGUAGAGGGGGGUAGAAUUCCAGGUGUAGCGGUGAAAUGCGUAGAGAUCUGGAGGAAUACCGGUGGCGAAGGCGGCCCCCUGGACAAAGACUGACGCUCAGGUGCGAAAGCGUGGGGAGCAAACAGGAUUAGAUACCCUGGUAGUCCACGCCGUAAACGAUGUCUACUUGGAGGUUGUGCCCUUGAGGCGUGGCUUCCGGAGCUAACGCGUUAAGUAGACCGCCUGGGGAGUACGGCCGCAAGGUUAAAACUCAAAUGAAUUGACGGGGGCCCGCACAAGCGGUGGAGCAUGUGGUUUAAUUCGAUGCAACGCGAAGAACCUUACCUGGUCUUGACAUCCACAGAAGAAUCCAGAGAUGGAUUUGUGCCUUCGGGAACUGUGAGACAGGUGCUGCAUGGCUGUCGUCAGCUCGUGUUGUGAAAUGUUGGGUUAAGUCCCGCAACGAGCGCAACCCUUAUCCUUUGUUGCCAGCGAUUAGGUCGGGAACUCAAAGGAGACUGCCAGUGAUAAACUGGAGGAAGGUGGGGAUGACGUCAAGUCAUCAUGGCCCUUACGACCAGGGCUACACACGUGCUACAAUGGCGCAUACAAAGAGAAGCGACCUCGCGAGAGCAAGCGGACCUCAUAAAGUGCGUCGUAGUCCGGAUUGGAGUCUGCAACUCGACUCCAUGAAGUCGGAAUCGCUAGUAAUCGUGGAUCAGAAUGCCACGGUGAAUACGUUCCCGGGCCUUGUACACACCGCCCGUCACACCAUGGGAGUGGGUUGCAAAAGAAGUAGGUAGCUUAACCUUCGGGAGGGCGCUUACCACUUUGUGAUUCAUGACUGGGGUGAAGUCGUAACAAGGUAACCGUAGGGGAACCUGCGGUUGGAUCACCUCCUUACCUUAAAGAA